AUGUAGGUGAAGUGAUUUACUCAUGGAGCUGAAGUCAGUCGAAGAUACCAGCUGGCUGCAACUGUUUAUUAAAAACACAGCACUGUGCAAACACGAAAGUGGACGUAUACGGUGUGACGCCUGCCCGGUGCCGGAAGGUUAAUUGAUGGGGUCAGCGCAAGCGAAGCUCCUGAUCGAAGCCCCGGUAAACGGCGGCCGUAACUAUAACGGUCCUAAGGUAGCGAAAUUCCUUGUCGGGUAAGUUCCGACCUGCACGAAUGGCGUAAUGAUGGCCAGGCUGUCUCCACCCGAGACUCAGUGAAAUUGAACUCGCUGUGAAGAUGCAGUGUACCCGCGGCAAGACGGAAAGACCCCGUGAACCUUUACUAUAGCUUGACACUGAACAUUGAGCCUUGAUGUGUAGGAUAGGUGGGAGGCUUUGAAGCGUGGACGCCAGUCUGCGUGGAGCCGACCUUGAAAUACCACCCUUUAAUGUUUGAUGUUCUAACGUGGACCCGUAAUCCGGGUUGCGGACAGUGUCUGGUGGGUAGUUUGACUGGGGCGGUCUCCUCCUAAAGAGUAACGGAGGAGCACGAAGGUUGGCUAAUCCUGGUCGGACAUCAGGAGGUUAGUGCAAUGGCAUAAGCCAGCUUGACUGCGAGCGUGACGGCGCGAGCAGGUGCGAAAGCAGGUCAUAGUGAUCCGGUGGUUCUGAAUGGAAGGGCCAUCGCUCAACGGAUAAAAGGUACUCCGGGGAUAACAGGCUGAUACCGCCCAAGAGUUCAUAUCGACGGCGGUGUUUGGCACCUCGAUGUCGGCUCAUCACAUCCUGGGGCUGAAGUAGGUCCCAAGGGUAUGGCUGUUCGCCAUUUAAAGUGGUACGCGAGCUGGGUUUAGAACGUCGUGAGACAGUUCGGUCCCUAUCUGCCGUGGGCGCUGGAGAACUGAGGGGGGCUGCUCCUAGUACGAGAGGACCGGAGUGGACGCAUCACUGGUGUUCGGGUUGUCAUGCCAAUGGCACUGCCCGGUAGCUAAAUGCGGAAGAGAUAAGUGCUGAAAGCAUCUAAGCACGAAACUUGCCCCGAGAUGAGUUCUCCCUGAGACUUAGAGUCUCCUGAAGGAACGUUGAAGACGACGACGUUGAUAGGCCGGGUGUGUAAGCGCAGCGAUGCGUUGAGCUAACCGGUACUAAUGAACCGUGAGGCUUAACCUUACAACGCCGAAG
rnacentral:rRNA from 1 species